rnacentral:rRNA from 1 species
UUACCGAGUUUACAACUCCCGAACCCAAUGUGAACCAUACCAAACUGUUGCCUCGGCGGGGUCACGCCCCGGGUGCGUCGCAGCCCCGGAACCAGGCGCCCGCCGGAGGGACCAACCAAACUCUUUCUGUAGUCCCCUCGCGGACGUUAUUUCUUACAGCUCUGAGCAAAAAUUCAAAAUGAAUCAAAACUUUCAACAACGGAUCUCUUGGUUCUGGCAUCGAUGAAGAACGCAGCGAAAUGCGAUAAGUAAUGUGAAUUGCAGAAUUCAGUGAAUCAUCGAAUCUUUGAACGCACAUUGCGCCCGCCAGUAUUCUGGCGGGCAUGCCUGUCCGAGCGUCAUUUCAACCCUCGAACCCCUCCGGGGGUCCGGCGUUGGGGAUCGGGAACCCCUAAGACGGGAUCCCGGCCCCGAAAUACAGUGGCGGUCUCGCCGCAGCCUCUCAUGCGCAGUAGUUUGCACAACUCGCACCGGGAGCGCGGCGCGUCCACGUCCGUAAAACACCCAACUUCUGAAAUGUUGACCUCGGAUCAGGUAGGAAUACCCGCUGAACUUAAGCAUAUCAAUAAGCGGAGGAAAAGAAACCAACAGGGAUUGCCCCAGUAACGGCGAGUGAAGCGGCAACAGCUCAAAUUUGAAAUCUGGCCCCUAGGGUCCGAGUUGUAAUUUGUAGAGGAUGCUUUUGGUGAGGUGCCGCCCGAGUUCCCUGGAACGGGACGCC